CAAAAUGGCGUUUUGUGUUGUAACGAAAGUUAUCUUGUGCAUCUAUUCAUAGCUAAGAAACGAUAGAAAAAGAAUAUUUCAUAGUUCGAGGUUAUUUGUUUCCUGUUUCACAUCGAAUUAUACGAAAAAAGAGAUAACAAUGCCCGUCGAGACGAAACGCCAGGCCACUGUUUUUCUCCUGUCUUUGAACGUGUGAACGUCUCCGCCAUAUCGCAUCAAGGACGGAUUGCCUCUUUCAUAGUGUUUUCGUGAGACGAAUUUCUGGAACGUUGUCUCUUUACAACCGUGUGAAAAGAGCGGUCGAAACGGAAAUAAAAUCCUUCUCACUCUUAAAAAUUGAUUUUACUACCGUGAAAUAUGCAUGUUGGAAAUUCCUUACACAGGAGAACAAUGAAAAUCUCCAAAUAAUAUUCAAAAAGAUAAUCACAAAACAUCCAAAAUUUUCCACUUAUAUUCAAACUUAUUUGCAAUAUAUCAGAUAUCUCGUCUAUAUUUCAUCUAUCUUCAAAGGACGAAAGUUGGUAUCAUAAGUUAUCUCUAUCUCGCCAUAAUAAAAGAAACCUCUCCAACUUUUUGGUCACAUCGAUAACCUUGAAAUUCAUACUGUUUUUCCUUAUUACGAACAACUAAAGAGUUCGUCAGAAGUUGUUGUGAUUUCUUUUAAGAAGCCCUUUCGGAGAAAUGGCGGGUGAUUGAUGUCAAACACAUACAGAUCACCCUGGGGGAUCGACGAUCCCGUUUCACCAACGACCUCGACUCAUCAAGGACAAUCCUUAUCGGGGGUAAUAGACACGAAGGAUUUUCAAGCGAACCUACAGAAAAACAAAAUCUAACGAUGAAUCGAGAGUAUCCUCGAGCAAAUGGGAGCACCCUCGUCAACCACAAUUUUCCAUCGAGUUCUUCUUACUGUCAAGGUCGAGGCAGAUUGUCACAGCGAGGAGGGCACGAUGAUUAUCGCGUAUUACGAACUGGAUCUGUCGACUACUGAGAAAAUCUUCUCGAAGGGAUGCCAGAUUAUCGCGAUUGUUGCUCGAAUUACUUCUGUUGAACAAGAAGUUUGUCUGGUUGAAUAAUAACGGCUGCCAAUGUUUAUAACAUUUCAAAUAUUAUGUUCGUGGCGUGGUAUGGACGAUUGGAUGAUGCUCAUCUUUGAUCAUUUUAUCGUAAUUUCGAAUACGUUUCGUAGAUUCUUAAUAUUUCUUAUGGUCUGUCUAGGAGUUUUAUCUAUAUUGUGCAAAGUUUUGAUUCUAAAUUAUAUUUAUAUUAUGAUUGAAACGUAAUUUUCCAGAAUGGAGGCUAUAAUAACAUUUUGCAAAAAUAUUAUCAUAGCGUAUAUGUUUACAAAUUGAGGACAUUUAAUUUAAGGUAA